rnacentral:piRNA from 1 species
UGAGAUAUGUAUUCGGAUUCU